CCUACGGGCGGCAGCAGUGAGGAAUAUUGGUCAAUGGCCGUAAGGCUGAACCAGCCAAGUCGCGUGAAGGAAGAAGGAUCUAUGGUUUGUAAACUUCUUUUAUAGGGGAAUAAAGGUAUCCACGUGUGGAUAUUUGCAUGUACCCUAUGAAUAAGCAUCGGCUAACUCCGUGCCAGCAGCCGCGGGAAUACGGAGGAUGCGAGCGUUAUCUGGAUUUAUUGGGUUUAAAGGGUGCGUAGGUUGUUUUUUAAGUCAGCGGUGAAAGUUUGUGGCUCAACCAUAAAAUUGCAGUUUAAACUGGGAGACUUGAGUGUUUUUGGGGGGGGCGGAAUGCGAGGUGUAGCGGUGAAAUGCAGAGAUAUCACGAGGAACUCCGAAUGCGAAGGCAGCUUACUAGGCCAUAACUGACACUGAUGCACGAAAGCGUGGGGAUCAAACAGGAUUAGAUACCCGUGUAGUC
rnacentral:rRNA from 1 species